CGGACGCGGCCGAGGCGUUUACGGCGUUCGCUUGUGUCCUGUACUGUAUAAGUCAUUGUUGUUAUUCUUAAAAUGAAUGUACUGAAGCAUUAUUAACUGACUUACAGUUAUAUGUCUUAAGUAAUUUGGUAACGUGAACUCGAGUUGACGCCUUGCCAGUUUAACUAGUCAGGACAGCGAGCUAAACCUUGUGAAGCUAGCUAACGCUAGCCCACCCGCUUAGCCGUGUUCCACAAUGAGGCAGACUGAAGGUAAUACCGUUGCUUCUCCAUAGGUGUUUGAGGCAGAGCGGUGCCGAGAGGAUUUUACACAGUAAGUGGAUUUGAAGGAGAAUUUGAAAUACUCAACUGGUGUGUCCUUCAAGACCUUCAGUGGUUCUUCAAAACAUUUGAAAAACACCAGCUGCAAGUGGUGAGGGCUGGGAGGAGAGCGUACUUAACUUGAAAAUUUGAGUGAGUACAACUUCCAGGUCCCUACCCCUCCCUCUUCGCUAGGCUGCAGUUCUGCCUCCAAAGCCCCCACCCACAGAGGAGGCUGUCAUGCGCACCCAAACUAGCAACCAUGGAUAUCCAUUGGUGCACUGCUGUGACAUGUCAAUGUUGCUGGUCAGCAAACAAGCAGAAAUAAAUAUUUUUGACAUAAAAUGUAA